rnacentral:rRNA from 1 species
GAGUUUGAUCCUGGCUCAGGACGAACGCUGGCGGCGUGCCUAAUACAUGCAAGUCGAGCGAACCAAUUGAAAGCCUAGCUUUCAUGAGGUUAGCGGCGGACGGGUGAGUAACACGUGGGUAACCUGCCCUAUAGACUGGGAUAACUCGCGGAAACGCGUGCUAAUACCGGAUAACACAUCAAAGUGCAUGCUUUGGUGUUGAAAGAUGGUUCUGCUAUCACUAUAGGAUGGGCCCGCGGCGCAUUAGCUUGUUGGUGGGGUAACGGCCUACCAAGGCGACGAUGCGUAGCCGACCUGAGAGGGUGAUCGGCCACACUGGGACUGAGACACGGCCCAGACUCCUACGGGAGGCAGCAGUAGGGAAUCUUCCACAAUGGGCGAAAGCCUGAUGGAGCAACGCCGCGUGAGCGAAGAAGGUCUUCGGAUCGUAAAGCUCUGUUGUAAGGGAAGAACAAGUGCAGUAGUAACUGGCUGCACCUUGACGGUACCUUACUAGAAAGCCACGGCUAACUACGUGCCAGCAGCCGCGGUAAUACGUAGGUGGCAAGCGUUGUCCGGAAUUAUUGGGCGUAAAGCGCGCGCAGGCGGCCUCUUAAGUCUGAUGUGAAAGCCCCCGGCUUAACCGGGGAGGGUCAUUGGAAACUGGGAGACUUGAGUGCAGGAGAGGGAAGCGGAAUUCCAUGUGUAGCGGUGAAAUGCGUAGAGAUAUGGAGGAACACCAGUGGCGAAGGCGGCUUCCUGGCCUGNUACUGACGCUGAGGCGCGAAAGCGUGGGGAGCAAACAGGAAUAGAUACCCUGGUAGUCCACGCCGUAGACGAUGAGUGCUAAGUG